rnacentral:rRNA from 1 species
UACGUAGGGGGCGAGCGUUGUCCGGAGUUACUGGGCGUAAAGGGCACGCAGGCGGUUGUGUCAGUUUGCGGGGACAGUGGGUGGCUUAACUGCCCAAGGGUCGCAAAGACGGCACGACUGGAGAGCGAGAGAGGGGCCUGGAACUCCGGGUGGAGCGGUGAAAUGCGUAGAGAUCCGGAAGAACACCACUGGCGCAGGCAAGGUCCUGGCUCGUAUCUGACGCUGAGGUGCGAAAGCUAGGGGAGCGAACGGG